UUCCCUGAAGUCAGGAGUUUAAAGACAUCAGACAGCAGUUGCACAAAAAGGAAUUUAUGUUGUGCUUAAGCAGAACUUAUGGAUUUUCAUUUUAAGCACUUAUAUUAAUGUACUUAGUUUAGCCAUCAUGAAAUGAAGAGAAUAAGAUACACCUGAGACCAUGAAGAUGGGUGGCUACUACAUUAGAAAAUCUUUAAAGGAAAAAUGAUACCGAGUUCUGACACUCAGCUAUGUGGCUGUCACCACCUAGUUUCAACAGUAGUCUAAGGAGCCUAUAUUUUAGCCUCUGUUUUAGGUUUAUAAUCUAUCUGUUUUAUAUCUAUAUAUAACUCUGCGAGGGAUUCUAAUGACUAAUGCCUUAGUUCGUGUUGGGCAAGUCAGCUGAUUAUCAUAUUCAGCUAUGCUGAUCCAAUCUAGUGAUGAUUUUCAUGCCUCCAGGAUUGCUUUGUGAAUGAAAGAAGUCGGAAUACCAAUUCUGAAAUCCUUGAAAGGCUCAAUAUUACUUUGCUGAAACUUAUGCUGCAUCCAUCCUAGAAACUGCAGCAACAACAGUAAGAGGUGAACUUAGCAGGACUUCAAACAUUUAUGCUACUGAUGCUGCCACCAUUGCGAGGACUAGGGACGUACUUAAAGGUUUCUACCUCAAAUAGCUAAAAUAGCUCAAACAAUCUUAUAUGUUAGGAACUGCAAUUGUUGAUUUCACAGCUUAGUUCAGUUGAAGCUUGGUGAAAUCUGCAACAUUGUUCAACUCAACUGUUUGCAGAUUAUAAUUGAUAAUCAUGCAUUUUCAUAAAUUUUGUUCAUGGAAUUUCGUUAACACCAUGUUCCUUGUUCUUCUUAAUUAGAAAUCGUUAUAUUUUAGACCUUGAUUAAAAUGAGAACAUGGGCUACGUAGGACAGAGGCAAGUUUCACUUUAUAAUCUUGAUUUCCCUGCUUUACUUAUUGCGAAUGAUCAUGGUAAUACGUCUCUAUAUCUUGCAAUGUUACAGGCUGGUUACAGAUUAUUAGACACAAAUCUUAUGCAUGAUAUCAGGGUUAAUUCUAGGGAAAUGAUAGGGAAUUUUCUGAUUAAUUUCUUUUCUCUUUUAAGCCAUGUAAAUGUGUAUAUAUAGCCUUACUUUUGAGAUGAAUAGAUAACAAUUUCAUCAAGUCUCUUUUAUAUUUUACAUGGUUCCCUAAAUUGAAAAAAACUGAACUCCACCAUGCAGUAAUGUCAUCGUAGUCGUUAUCAUACACAUGGUUGGUGAUACUUAUAAUGAAUUUGCACUUGAUGCAGGCAUGAUAACGAGGCCAUUUUAGCAAUUGAAGAUUGGUACUAACAUGCUCUCUUGUUCUUGCAUUGAUAUUUUUGGAUUAAGAAACUUGCCAAUAUGACAGGGUUGCCGACACUGAUACUUCAGUAUACCCCAAAGCAUCUAAGAGUCUAAGAUGUUAGAGUGAGCCGAGGAGGAAGAUAUGGUUCGCAUCAAGACAAAAGCCACCCCAAAUUGUCUUCAACUUGAAUCCUAGAGCCCCCCAAAUUUGGAUGUGAGGGCAACUUUUUGUCAUGUGCCUCUGCAUAUAAUCAUGAUCCAUUGUGUUGAAUACUUAUCUUCAGUCAUAUCCUAUCAUUACCUAACAGUGAAAGUGCAGGGCCGUAUUACUUACAUUACAUGUAUAUUUGAUGACAGCUAACAUUGUUGUUAACAGUCUUUGUGAAUGAAACUUUAAACACAAGUUUCUCUUA